UGCAGGUGUAGCAGCGCUGCCGCGUGUGUCAUCACCUCCGCCAAAUGGCACAUUCCUCCCUUCUCACUCCUAAGCCAGGCGCGUAGCUCUUUGGCAGGGCUCGCUCGCUAGCAGAGGACAUUUGACAUGCGAGGGUCUGGUUUGGUUUUUUUGACAGCCCCACCAAGGGGAUUUCGGAUGAACACCGAAGCUCAGCCCAGCGCUGGGAGCGGCGGUCGGGCCGAGUAGCAAAGGCUCCUGCAGAGGAGGUGCUGCCCUGGGAGAAAGCCAGCCAGACACAGCCACGUGCUGUAAAAUCCACGUGUGUACUCAGACUACAUUAUGACCACCAAGGGUUCCAGGAUCAUUUCAUGAGGGUUCUACGAGCAGUCUCUGAGAAUGCGCUGCUUUUUGAAGCACAUGAAGAACAGCAGCAGUAAACUUCUGACAUCAGUGCUCUCUGCAGUGGUUAAAAGAGGAGAUAAUCCAGAUUUACAUUCUCUGGGAACAGGCUCAGAAACAGGCAGCCAGCCCGUGAGUGAUACCCUGCUGCCACUGCACUCCCCUGCAUUUACAGCACAGUCCAGGGAGCUGCAAAAGAACAACCUCCAUGCCAUUAUUAGAUUUCAUCUACAUAUUAGGUUUCCUCUGCCUAUGCCUCGUUUGAGAACAGGGCUACAGACAGACACCCCAGCCCUGGAAUAAAUAAUUAAUAACAACAGAAAAGGUUUGUCCCAGAGCCUGAACCUCUCAGUCAGAAGAGCUGUAGUUACUACACAGUUUAAUAUGUGAAGGAGGAACUUGACACACAGAAAGUCAUCUUUAACUGGCUGUGUUUUCCAGUUGGAUAAGCUUUUUAAAAAGAACAUAAGCAGAACUAGAAGCCAGAAGAAAAGGUGUGCCACAUUUCCUGGAUAUUCCGUACUCUAUAGAUUUCACUGGAGCCUUUAAAGCAGUAUUGGGACAAACGAAAACAAGAGUUUCUGUGGGUUAAACAUCAAUGUAAAAUUUCUUUUAUCUCAAAUAAAUUUAAACUGGUCAAAAGCUCCUUAAAAUAUAACAAAAAAAUAUUACGGAGAUGUUAUUUGUUGCUUAUUUUUGCUUUAUAACAAAACCAGCAUUUGCUGCCUGUCAGCGCUGUGUAUACAACCUGGGUUGAGGAAUAUGGAAAACAGAAGCACUGGAUUUCUUUGCUGCCAGCUGAACUCCUACUCAAACAAGGGAUUCAUUACAAAGUUGUGUUCAGUGGGUGUUAAACAAGUGAGUGGAAGCAAGCAAACAUUGCAAUUUGUGUGACACUCACAGUGCAGCACAGAACAGCAC